ACUUAAAUUGAAGAGUUUGAUCAUGGCUCAGAUUGAACGCUGGCGGCAGGCCUAACACAUGCAAGUCGAGCGGUAGCACAGAGAGCUUGCUCUCGGGUGACGAGCGGCGGACGGGUGAGUAAUGUCUGGGAAACUGCCUGAUGGAGGGGGAUAACUACUGGAAACGGUAGCUAAUACCGCAUAAUGUCGCAAGACCAAAGUGGGGGACCUUCGGGCCUCAUGCCAUCAGAUGUGCCCAGAUGGGAUUAGCUAGUAGGUGGGGUAACGGCUCACCUAGGCGACGAUCCCUAGCUGGUCUGAGAGGAUGACCAGCCACACUGGAACUGAGACACGGUCCAGACUCCUACGGGAGGCAGCAGUGGGGAAUAUUGCACAAUGGGCGCAAGCCUGAUGCAGCCAUGCCGCGUGUGUGAAGAAGGCCUUCGGGUUGUAAAGCACUUUCAGCGGGGAGGAAGGCGGUGAGGUUAAUAACCUCAUCGAUUGACGUUACCCGCAGAAGAAGCACCGGCUAACUCCGUGCCAGCAGCCGCGGUAAUACGGA
rnacentral:rRNA from 1 species